GUGAACUCGAAGAGUAGGGCGGGACACGUGGUAUCCUGUCUGAAUAUGGGGGGACCAUCCUCCAAGGCUAAAUACUCCUGACUGACCGAUAGUGAACCAGUACCGUGAGGGAAAGGCGAAAAGAACCCCGGCGAGGGGAGUGAAAAAGAACCUGAAACCGUGUACGUACAAGCAGUGGGAGCACCUUCGGGUGUGACUGCGUACCUUUUGUAUAAUGGGUCAGCGACUUAUAUUCUGUAGCAAGGUUAACCGUAUAGGGGAGCCGCAGGGAAACCGAGUCUUAACUGGGCGUUAAGUUGCAGGGUAUAGACCCGAAACCCGGUGAUCUAGCCAUGGGCAGGUUGAAGGUUGGGUAACACUAACUGGAGGACCGAACCGACUAAUGUUGAAAAAUUAGCGGAUGACUUGUGGCUGGGGGUGAAAGGCCAAUCAAACCGGGAGAUAGCUGGUUCUCCCCGAAAGCUAUUUAGGUAGCGCCUCGUGAACUCAUCUUCGGGGGUAGAGCACUGUUUCGGCUAGGGGGUCAUCCCGACUUACCAACCCGAUGCAAACUACGAAUACCGAAGAAUGUUAUCACGGGAGACACACGGCGGGUGCUAACGUCCGUCGUGAAGAGGGAAACAACCCAGACCGCCAGCUAAGGUCCCAAAGUCAUGGUUAAGUGGGAAACGAUGUGGGAAGGCACAGACAGCCAGGAUGUUGGCUUAGAAGCAGCCAUCAUUUAAAGAAAGCGUAAUAGCUCACUGGUCGAGUCGGCCUGCGCGGAAGAUGUAACGGGGCUAAACCAUGCACCGAAGCUGCGGCAGCGACACUAUGUGUUGUUGGGUAGGGGAGCGUUCUGUAAGCCUGCGAAGGUGUGCUGUGAGGCAUGCUGGAGGUAUCAGAAGUGCGAAUGCUGACAUAAGUAACGAUAAAGCGGGUGAAAAGCCCGCUCGCCGGAAGACCAAGGGUUCCUGUCCAACGUUAAUCGGGGCAGGGUGAGUCGACCCCUAAGGCGAGGCCGAAAGGCGUAGUCGAUGGGAAACAGGUUAAUAUUCCUGUACUUGGUGUUACUGCGAAGGGGGGACGGAGAAGGCUAUGUUAGCCGGGCGACGGUUGUCCCGGUUUAAGCAUGUAGGCUGAUUGUCCAGGCAAAUCCGGAUAAUCAAGGCUGAGGUGUGAUGACGAGGCACUACGGUGCUGAAGUAACAAAUGCCCUGCUUCCAGGAAAAGCCUCUAAGCAUCAGGUAACAUUAAAUCGUACCCCAAACCGACACAGGUGGUCAGGUAGAGAAUACCAAGGCGCUUGAGAGAACUCGGGUGAAGGAACUAGGCAAAAUGGUGCCGUAACUUCGGGAGAAGGCACGCUGGUGUGUAGGUGAAGCCCCUGCGGGUGGAGCUGAGACCAGUCGAAGAUACCAGCUGGCUGCAACUGUUUAUUAAAAACACAGCACUGUGCAAACACGAAAGUGGACGUAUACGGUGUGACGCCUGCCCGGUGCCGGAAGGUUAAUUGAUGGGGUUAUCCGUAAGGAGAAGCUCUUGAUCGAAGCCCCGGUAAACGGCGGCCGUAACUAUAACGGUCCUAAGGUAGCGAAAUUCCUUGUCGGGUAAGUUCCGACCUGCACGAAUGGCGUAAUGAUGGCCAGGCUGUCUCCACCCGAGACUCAGUGAAAUUGAACUCGCUGUGAAGAUGCAGUGUACCCGCGGCAAGACGGAAAGACCCCGUGAACCUUUACUAUAGCUUGACACUGAACAUUGAGCCUUGAUGUGUAGGAUAGGUGGGAGGCUUUGAAGCGUGGACGCCAGUCUGCGUGGAGCCAACCUUGAAAUACCACCCUUUAAUGUUUGAUGUUCUAACGUUGGCCCCUUACCGGGGUUGCGGACAGUGUCUGGUGGGUAGUUUGACUGGGGCGGUCUCCUCCCAAAGCGUAACGGAGGAGCACGAAGGUUAGCUAAUCCUGGUCGGACAUCAGGAGGUUAGUGCAAUGGCAUAAGCUAGCUUGACUGCGAGCGUGACGGCGCGAGCAGGUGCGAAAGCAGGUCAUAGUGAUCCGGUGGUUCUGAAUGGAAGGGCCAUCGCUCAACGGAUAAAAGGUACUCCGGGGAUAACAGGCUGAUACCGCCCAAGAGUUCAUAUCGACGGCGGUGUUUGGCACCUCGAUGUCGGCUCAUCACAUCCUGGGGCUGAAGUAGGUCCCAAGGGUAUGGCUGUUCGCCAUUUAAAGUGGUACGCGAGCUGGGUUUAGAACGUCGUGAGACAGUUCGGUCCCUAUCUGCCGUGGGCGCUGGAGAAUUGAGGGGGGCUGCUCCUAGUACGAGAGGACCGGAGUGGACGCAUCACUGGUGUUCGGGUUGUCAUGCCAAUGGCACUGCCCGGUAGCUAAAUGCGGAAGAGAUAAGUGCUGAAAGCAUCUAAGCACGAAACUUGCCCCGAGAUGAGUUCUCCCUGAGACUUUAAGUCUCCUGAAGGAACGUUGAAGACGACGACGUUGAUAGGCCGGGUGUGUAAGCGCAGCGAUGCGUUGAGCUAACCGGUACUAAUGAACCGUGAGGCUUAACCUU
rnacentral:rRNA from 1 species